AUAAUCACGCAAAGCUCGUGAAUGGUUUUUUUAAUGUUAUUUUAGUUUUAAAAAGGAAUCUUUAAAUUCUAGUUUUAUAUAUUUCUUGAUACAAAUCAAAAUGGAGAAGCUUUCAAUGCUCACUUUUUUUCUUGUCGUUACUUUAAUGACUACAGGUAAUGAGAUGAUGAGGGUUAACGCUUUUCAGUGCAUAGAAGAACGUCAAGUGUUCAACUGUGAUGGCUGCAACUUGGUGUGUCAAGUAGCCCAUUUUCGCACAGCUGCUACCGGUCGUUGCUAUUCUGUAGAGGAUGACCCUGCGACCGCUAGAUGCUUUUGUUUUUACGAAUGCGCUUAGCCACUUCUAUGAAACUAUUGAUAAGAAACUAUAUAAAUGAUAAUAAUAAGACGGCCCGGAUCAAGUGAUCAACUGAUCUAAGGUUACUACUAUUACUAAAAAUAGUUCCAUGUUAUGUGUUUGUCCUUUGAUCCUUUAAACACCAAAAUUCUUUUGAGACUUGUGAUGUAGGAUAUAUGGUAAUAUAUAGAAACAAACCUUAAAUAUC